AUGUACCCAGGUCAUUUCCAUGUGUUGGAGGCCCGCUUACGUCUCUGGGAUAUUAAAUAUAUUAUGUGCAAAUCAGGUGCUGAUGCUGGCUCUGGGAGGGGUACGAGGGGGCAGAAAAAGAGUUGUUGUGUCAACAAUGCAGUGACAGGGGAUGGGACACCUUGCGAUGUGCCUGAAGCCUUGAUGCAAUAUGACCGCAAUGAUGUUGCUAGACAAUCAGGUUAUCAUCUGUCAUUUCGCUUUGUUCUAAAAAUUGAGUUAUCUUUGCAUUCAGUUAACAUAGUUCUUUGCCGACAUCCAUGA
rnacentral:rRNA from 1 species